AACUUUCAACAACGGAUCUCUUGGCUCUCGCAUCGAUGAAGAACGCAGCGAAAUGCGAUAAGUAAUGUGAAUUGCAGAAUUCAGUGAAUCAUCGAAUCUUUGAACGCACCUUGCGCCUUUUGGUAUUCCGAAAGGCAUGCCUGUUUGAGUGUCGU
rnacentral:rRNA from 1 species